AACAAGGCGUACCUGCGGACCUGCGGAGGGAUCAUUACCGAGUGUGAACCCCCCCGUAAAAAAGAGGGGUUACCUCCCGUCCUUUGCUGGGAACCCCUUUCCAACUUGGAAGGAGGUUGUUUUCAGACCCUUCUGCUUCGGUGGGGUAACCCACCGGAACAACCUCAAAAAUAUUCUCAAUUCAAAACCGUUCAGUCCGAGAACUUUUUUGAAAAGCGAAAAAACUUUCAGCAACGGAUC
rnacentral:misc_RNA from 1 species